rnacentral:lncRNA from 1 species
CUCUGAUUAGCUUGCUAAAAUGAUUCAAGCAAAAAACAUAAAUUUUGUUCACUAUCUCAGAGGAAAAAAAUUUUAGAGAGUCAAUAGCAAAAUGGAUUUUUUUUAAAAAUCCUUAACACAAAGCCAAAAUCAACUUACAAAAGAUUUUCAUGAUGAACACAGGAAAAAUUGUUGAAAGAUGAUCUCCUGGCUACCCAUUUUCCCACAUAACAUAACCUAUACUUACUCACAUUUAUUCCUACCAAAAUAAUUCUAAUUUCAACAUAUUUAUGUAACCUGUGAUUUCAAUGGUUGUUCUACAUUUACAUUAUAUAUCAUUAGGCCCAUUAUGGGUUAACAAAUAUGCCUUAAAAAUCAGAAUCCCCCCCUACCCACUAUGCUCAUGUGGCCAUUUACAGUUCUUAGAACAAAAAUGGAUUUUAAAAUAUUCAGCUAAAAUUUUAUUGGAAAGAGAAUUGACACAUUUGGAGAAAUUGAAAGUAGGUCUUUAAAAUAUGAUCCAAGUGAAAAUUAUAUUGAGAAUACUUUUUCUUUUUUCUCUCAUUUUCUUUUAUUCUUUUAAAAAUUCUAGUUUGAUAGUGAAAAAGAAUCGGACUAUGAGCUAUUUUAAAGAAUCAAGGAAGAAUUGGUAUUGAUUAUAUAGUAUUUAAGGACAAAUUAUAUAUUUUGCUGUUUAUGGUAGUAACUCACUGAAUAAAAUAAGUAAUUGGCCAACAUUAAGUAUAUUUCCAACACAGAAGGGUUCAAAACAUUACAUUAUAAACUCUUUUGGGAAAUGUAUCUAAAGGGUUUUUUUUUUUUAAGUUCUGUUCUUAUUCUACUUUUUGUUUGGUUGUAUUUUUAUUUUCAGAUAGAUUAAUAAAUCUGGCAGCUGAUUUCUGC